CGGGGCUCCGUACCGUAGGACACACCUCAUUCAAUGUGUUUUCUUUAUUUUCAUGACUAUUUACAUUGUAGAUUCUCAAAAACAAUGAAUGAACACGUGGAACUAUUUACUUGACAAAAACUGUGAAAUAACUCUAAAUAUGCAUAUUUUACACAUACGGUAGGGGAGACUGGGGACAGUUGCAACAGGGGACGGUUGCAACAAGCCUUAUUUGUCUAAUCAGUAACAUGCUAGAGUGAUGACCUCACACUGCACAUGCUCAGUUAGACCCUCUACCCUCUCGCCAAGAAGAAAGCGGCCAUAUUGUGCAUCUGGUGCAUCAGCUUCUAUCAAGACAAAGUUGUUUUGGAGAGAGAAGACCAACAAGCUGCAGGACUUCCAGCUAUGCGGCACAAGAUCCCACCCUCACUCUCAUGGAAGUCCAGAUGCCUGAGCCACCUCAACUGGCUCCUCUCCAUGUGGAGGAGCAGUGGUUCAACUCUGAUCUCCUCCUAGAUGACCCUAUCUCUUAGGGUGAGUCCAUCGA